GGACUACCCGGGUAUCUAAUCCUGUUUGCUCCCCACGCUAUCGCGCCUGAGCGUCGGUAAUGGGCCAGUGAGCCGCCUUCGCCACUGGUGUUCUUCCGAAUAUCUACGAAUUUCACCUCUACACUCGGAAUUCCACUCACCUCUCCCAUACCCAAGUCCUACAGUCUCAAAGGCAGUUCCAGAGUUGAGCUCUGGGCUUUCACCCCUGACUUGAAGGACCGCCUGCGCGCGCUUUACGCCCAGUAAAUCCGAACAACGCUAGCCCCCUUCGUAUUACCGCGGCGGCUGGCAC
rnacentral:rRNA from 1 species